rnacentral:rRNA from 1 species
CCUACGGGAGGCAGCAGUGGGGAAUCUUGGACAAUGGGGGCAACCCUGAUCUAGCCAUGCCGCGUGAGUGAAGAAGGCCCUAGGGUCGUAAAACUCUUUCGCCUGUGAUGAUAAUGACAGUAGCAGGUAAAGAAACCCCGGCUAACUCCGUGCCAGCAGCCGCGGUAAUACGGAGGGGGUUAGCGUUGUUCGGAAUUACUGGGCGUAAAGCGCGCGUAGGCGGAUUAGAAAGUUGGGGGUGAAAUCCCGGGGCUCAACCCCGGAACUGCCUCCAAAACUGCUAGUCUAGAGUUCGAGAGAGGUGAGUGGAAUUCCGAGUGUAGAGGUGAAAUUCGUAGAUAUUCGGAGGAACACCAGUGGCGAAGGCGGCUCACUGGCUCGAUACUGACGCUGAGGUGCGAAAGUGUGGGGAGCAAACAGGAUUAGAUACCCUGGUAGUCCACACCGUAAACGAUGAAUGCCAGUCGUCGGAUAGUAUACUAUUCGGUGACACACCUAACGGAUUAAGCAUUCCGCCUGGGGAGUACGGUCGCAAGAUUAAAACUCAAAUGAAUUGAC